AGUGAACGCUGGCGGUAGGCCUAACACAUGCAAGUCGAACGGCAGCACAGUAAGAGCUUGCUCUUACGGGUGGCGAGUGGCGGACGGGUGAGGAAUACAUCGGAAUCUACUUUUUCGUGGGGGAUAACGUAGGGAAACUUACGCUAAUACCGCAUACGACCUACGGGUGAAAGCAGGGGAUCUUCGGACCUUGCGCGAUUGAAUGAGCCGAUGUCGGAUUAGCUAGUUGGCGGGGUAAAGGCCCACCAAGGCGACGAUCCGUAGCUGGUCUGAGAGGAUGAUCAGCCACACUGGAACUGAGACACGGUCCAGACUCCUACGGGAGGCAGCAGUGGGGAAUAUUGGACAAUGGGCGCAAGCCUGAUCCAGCCAUACCGCGUGGGUGAAGAAGGCCUUCGGGUUGUAAAGCCCUUUUGUUGGGAAAGAAAGCAGCAGGUUAAUACCCCGCUGUUCUGACGGUACCCAAAGAAUAAGCACCGGCUAACUUCGUG
rnacentral:rRNA from 1 species